AUUGAGCGCUGGCGGCAUGCCUUACACAUGCAAGUCGAACGGCAGCACGGGUGCUUGCACCUGGUGGCGAGUGGCGAACGGGUGAGUAAUACAUCGGAACGUACCUUAUCGUGGGGGAUAACGCAGCGAAAGUUGCGCUAAUACCGCAUACGCCCUGAGGGGGAAAGCGGGGGACCGUAAGGCCUCGCGCGAUUAGAGCGGCCGAUGUCUGAUUAGCUUGUUGGUGAGGUAAAAGCUCACCAAGGCGAUGAUCAGUAGCUGGUCUGAGAGGACGAUUAGCCACACUGGGACUGAGACACGGCCCAGACUCCUACGGGAGGCAGCAGUGGGGAAUUUUGGGCAAUGGGGGCAACCCUGAUCCAGCAAUGCCGCGUGAGUGAAGAAGGCCUUCGGGUUGUAAAGCUCUUUUGUCAGGGAAGAAACAGCAGCUCUAACACAGUCUGCGAAUGACGGUACCUGAAGAAUAAGCACCGGCUAACUACGUGCCAGCAGCCGCCGUAA
rnacentral:rRNA from 1 species